rnacentral:rRNA from 1 species
GUCUACGGCCAUGCCACCCUGAACAAGCCUGAUCCCGUCUGAUCUCAGAAGCUAAGCAGGGUCGGGCCUGGUUAGUACUUAGAUAGGAGACCACCUAGGAAGACCAGUUGCUGUAGGCG